UGGGGAAUAUUGCACAAUGGGGGAAACCCUGAUGCAGCGACGCCGCGUGAGCGAAGAAGGUUUUCGAAUCGUAAAGCUCUGUCCUAUGAGAAGAGAAUGACGGUAUCAUAGGAGGAAGCCCCGGCUAAAUACGUGCCAGCAGCCGCGGUAAUACGUAUGGGGCGAGCGUUGUCCGGAAUUAUUGGGCGUAAAGGGUACGUAGGCGGUCUAUUAAGUCAGGUGUGAAAGCGUGAGGCUUAACCUCAUUAAGCACUUGAAACUGAUAGACUUGAGUGAAGGAGAGGAAAGUGGAAUUCCUAGUGUAGCGGUGAAAUGCGUAGAUAUUAGGGGGAAUACCGGUGGCGAAGGCGACUUUCUGGACUUUUACUGACGCUCAGGUACGAAAGCGUGGGGAGCAAACAGG
rnacentral:rRNA from 1 species